GUGCUCGCUUUGGCAGCACAUAUACUAAAACUGGAAUGAUGCAGAGAUUAGCAUGGCCCCUGCUCAAGAAUUACAUGCAAAUUCAUGAAGCAGUCCAUAUUUUU